rnacentral:piRNA from 1 species
UCCCCAUCUUGUGCUCUGAUUUACUAA